GACGAACGCUGGCGGCGUGCUUAACACAUGCAAGUCGAACGAAGUGGCGAAAGGGUGAGUAAUACGUGGGUAACCUGCCCUCCUUUUUGGGAUAAGCCUUGGAAACGGGGUCUAAUACCGAAUAAAGGGGGAUGGGCUCGCGGCCUAGCAGCUUGUUGGUGGGGGUAUGGCCUACCAAGGCGGUGACGGGUAGCCGGCCUGAGAGGGUGACCGGCCACAUUGGGAAUGAGAUACGGCCCAGACUCCUACGGGAGGCAGCAGUGGGGGAUAUUGCACAAUGGGCGAAAGCCUGUUGCAGCGACGCCGCGUGGGGGAUGAAGGCUUUCGGGUUGUAAACCUCUUUCGAUAUCGAACGCGUAGGAGGAGCGGUGGCGGCGUCUUUAUACGUGCCAGCAGCCGCGGUAAUAC
rnacentral:rRNA from 1 species